UUUAAGAGAUUCGUAGUAAGCUUUGCAGUAAAUCACAAGCCUCAAUACUAAAAUUUGUCCCUGCCAAGCAAAAGCAAGGCCAGCAGCUUCUGGGUCUUAGCCCCAAGUUCCAAGUGUUUAAACAGUGAGAGGCUUUGCUCAUACUACUGUUCAGAAGGAAACUCAAGGAUUUUAUUCAGCAACAGUUAAGGCACAGCAGUAUAUUCAAAGCCAGGAUGCUGAGUGACUUGGAGAGGCAACUUUAGGUUGGGAUGUUCUCAUGCCUGUCCUGUCCUUGAUCGUCAAACAGGACUUGAGAGCAGCUGGAACUCUCCUCAACAAAUUUGGCUUCACAGUUUAGUCUCCUUCAAGAUGAUAUUCAUGGGCUGUGAUACCCAGCAUGGAGUGAAUCUCAUGACAACGUGUAGCUGGGCCUCCAAGAUGAGUAUGCCUACACCAGAUUUGAUCAACCUGAGGACUUACAGAAACUAGCUGUCAAUGAUUGCCAUUAAGAAGACAAUGGUGCCUACCUGCUGCCUCCGGUUUGACGCUUGCUCCUUCAGGUGUCCAUCUAAGACUGCAGCCACCAUAUCUGGACAUGGUCAAUGUGCAUGAUGCCUCCUCCAACACCUCUCCAACUCCAUACGGUCCCAUCCAUGGAUGUUGACGUCAGACACAUGGCAGCCUCACUGCACCCUUGUGGCACAACUCUGAUCUAAUUACAAAACAACUCAGUAUUUGAGUUCUUUGCUUUGGAACACACCAGUAUGAAUCACAGUAAUGCUGCUGCCAGAACAUUGUUCAGGGGCAAGCACCCAUCUCUUAGAUUCAGUCAAGGUUCAUCCCAGGUCUUCUUGGUUGGUUCUUCAAGCUCACUGCAUUGUGCAUACUUAAAUGCUUACAGCAUCUCCGUAUGUCCUUGUAUUUUGUCUUUUGCUGUCAGAACUAGAACUUAAAAGCUCACAGCACUUCUGUAUUGCCUUGCUUUUUCAGCAUAGUCACAGAGCUAGGUGGUUUGUCAUAGUUGUCAGCAGUGAUCAGUCAAGAGGGUGGACAUGUUAUUUGCUACACCAUCUCACAUUUGUUCCAAGUGCUUGCCGUGUAUGUGGCAAAUACUCUGAAUAUGUUUCAAUAGAAUGCCAUCUCUCAAAGGCUCAUGUGAGUGGUCCUCAGUCAAGUCAGAGAAGCCAGCCUUCAGUCAGAGAGUCCCAGUACAGUGAGUCAAGGGCAGUCUCCACUCACUUGGACAUGGCUAGUCAGCUGCUUGAGUUGGUCAGAGUUCGAGGUUUCCUGUAAUAAUGGGCCUGGUCAUGGGCAGUGGUUAUCCUGUAGGCCUGGGUCAGCCAGUCUGAGGUAUUGUGAUAAAUCAGUCAGGGACUUACACAAGGAUCAGUCAGGGUUUGGACAGUCAUCUGCUGGGGCUGUCAGGUUGUGUCGAUUGAGGGAAUGGCCCACUAUCCAUUCCAGGGCUAUGUCCUCGUAAAGUCAAGGGGAUCCUGUUAGGAGGCACAUCUGUGGUUGGGAAGUUAAUUGUAGGGAGUGGAGGCAGCAUGCAGAAUUACGGAGUGAAUGACAAUUGUAAAGGGUGGUAUCUCAAGGUAGGGAACAAUGGAGGGGAAGGAGUAUUCCAGGGGCCAAUGACAGCUCUACUUUAGCUUUCAUGGUCUAUAUAAUUCUGUUUGGCAUGAUGACACAGUAUGCCUGGGGCUCUGGGAAUGAAGUGAGAAAAAGAAAAGUUAAGUGAUUGAGCUGAUGGAAACAUGGGACAUGUCCCAGGCAAGGGGGUUGACCGGCAGGAAACCAGGAAAGAAUAUGGUUACCAGAACUGAGAGACUGACUCUAUGAAACAUGAUUGGUUUUCCUUCUAUUACCAGCCAAAGAGCAAACUGCACAAUGAAGAUAAAAAUGGCUGUAACUAGGUGGAGUUAGUGUUUCAUUCUGUGACAGACCAGGCUCCACUUUUGUGCGAUGAGGUUGCUCAAAGGGCAAUAAUUUUAAACAGACACCCACACAGUACAAAUGAAAGACACCUGUGAGCACUAAAUGCUACGAUUGAACUGAAUGAUUUGGCCUACCAUGCGGAGUUCAGAUCCUGGUCCCAAAAUCUCUUGAUCAUAUAAUGCAAUAUUACAAAUCAAUACCACUAAAGUUGUAAUGCACAAGCAAUGUAAUGUAGCCUGGAAAAGUUGAUUCCUGUUGCUAAAGUAGCAAUCAUCGUUUAAGCCCACUUAACCUGCAUCUUUCGCGACUCGGACCAUCAAAAUCAUGUACUGCUAUGGAUAUUGGCUCUGUAUCUUUAUGCAGUUAUGGCUAAAUGACUCUUGCUCACACAGUUGAUGAUAAAAGUGAAAAUGUAUUCAAACAUGGGAGAAUGUAUUUACAGUGAAGUUUCUCUUCUUGCAUCUGUGAGCCCCUCAGAAGGUCUUUUACAUGCUGUCUGUCCGAUUACGUUUCAAUCAGUUGCAUGGAUUACAGCUGGGUGGAGACCCUGUCAUACAAUGGAGUCUGUUGGCCUUCAAGGUUUGGUGAAGCAAUCUCAAAAGGAUUUGGGGCUAAAGGGCCCAGACAUGCUGCAUGUGACUUAGUGCGCUUUCCACAGCUUGAACUCCAAAGGGGCUGAAGGGCACAGGCAAGUUGGAGGUGGAAAGUUUCUCAUAUCGAAAAACUCUAACUUUGUUGAAUACUUUAACACCUCUGUCCCAAUGGUUGAAUUGGCCCAAUCCAGUUGAAUCUUAAGGUUUGAGAAAGAGUUGAAAGAUGACCAAAGAAAGAUGUUAACGUGAUUAAUAUGUGUUGUUCCAUUCAAAAUUAAGCAGA